CAGGAUUUUAUCAGAAAUACAGAUUACAAACACACCAAUAGACACAAAGGGAUUUGAAAAGCUGGUUCAAGUGAAAGAGAACACAGCGAAUGAUAGUAUGAAUCUCUAUAGCGGGCUGUUCAUACACAACAGGUUUGCCAAACAGCAGAUGGAGAAUUUAGAAAGCGCGCUUGAGAGAGUGAAGGGGUCACUAGAAGCAAGGAUGAAAAAGGAAGAUGGACACAAGUGAGGACAAUGGAUUCAGAUCAGAUGUGUAACCUUCUGUUUGGUAGAUUUGAUCAGA